rnacentral:tRNA from 1 species
GGGCGUAGCUCAACUGGAUAGAGCAUCAGACUUCGGAUCUGAGGGUUAGGGGUUCGAGUCCUCUCGCCC